rnacentral:rRNA from 1 species
GAUGAACGCUGGCGGCGUGCCUAAUACAUGCAAGUCGAGCGAACGGACGAGAAGCUUGCUUCUCUGAUGUUAGCGGCGGACGUGUGAGUAACACGUGUAUAACCUACCUAUAAUACUGGUAUAACUUCGGGAAACCGGAUCUAAUCCCGUAUCAUAUUUUGAACCUCAUUGUUCAAAGGUGAAAUACGGUCUUUCUGGCACUUAUCGCUGUAUCCGCGCUUCAUUGGAUAGUUGGUGAGUUAACGGCUUACCAAGGCAACGAGGCAUAGACGACCUGAGAGGGUGAUAGGCGACCCUGGAACUGAGCCAGGGACAAGACUACUACGGGAGGCAGCAGUAGCGAAUGUUACGCAAUGGGCGAAAGCAUGACGGAGCAACGCCGCGUGAGUGAUGAAGGCCUUCGGAUCGGAAAACCCUGCUAUGAGGGAAGAACAUAUGUGUAAGUAAAUGUGCACAUCUUGACGGUAACGAAUAAGAAAGCAACGGCUAACUACGUG